rnacentral:lncRNA from 1 species
CUUUUAAUAGCUGAACGAUAUGCAUUAUAAUCGCUCAAAGAUGCCGCCAUUAGAAUAAUCGAAAGUCUAAUUGGUUGUAAAACAGUAAGUGAGGAAUCUCAUAAAUGCGUCUUCGGUAACGAAAGUUACAUUUCAGAAAAUAACUGUAUCUUUGCAAACGAUUUUAGUUAUAACCGAUAUACUGCAGUUUUUACAGUGAAUAUAUCGAAACGGGCAGUACAAGUUGUUGUUUUGGAUUCGGAACAGGACGUAAAAUGCCACAGGUAUCUGGAAGAACAAGGUAAGGAAAUAAGUGCUGAAUUCAAAGCUUGUUGUCUGCACGAUUCAAAGGAAGAUACUUCUUUCUUAUACUGGACUUGUGGGAAAACAUUUUUUAAAUAUGAUACAAUUAUGAAUAGGAAC